rnacentral:sRNA from 1 species
AGAUGUGAGGGCCACCUGGCUGCGACUUGUGUCACUCCGUUGAUAGCCACGGUCCAUUCGGCUGGUCUGGCUGGCUGGGCUAGGCCGGUGUCCCCUUCCUCCCUCACCGCUCCAUGUGCGUCCCUCCUGAAGCUGGGUGCUCGGUUGAAGAAGAGGACAACGUUCCCCAAUAGGAGGAGGACCGUCCUUCGGUCAAGGGCAGAGGAGUAGCUGUGAUCCCCGGCCAGAACCUCCAAGCAAGUCUCAGGAGACAGCGUGCUGGCAAGGCUGGA